UUAUGAUGUACAGUAAAAAAUUACAUGUUUGUACUCUAUAUUUGUCCUACCAUAGCUAGUAUUUUGCACUUAAAUUUAAGGGGUAUCUGAGGGCCUCUGGAUGUCUGGAGUUUUGAUCUCCUCCAUACCUGCUUCAUGCCUGGUGGAUGGGGCUGUGGCUCCCCACACCCUCUAGCAGAUCAUUACAUGAAGGAACCUUUUAAAGACAAGUGCGUUCAUGCUCACAGGUGUACAAUGAUGCUGUCACAAUGAUGUUUAAUAUUUAGUAUUUACUGUUAUAUUCCCAUAUAUCAUCAUGAUGUUGUUUAUUCUAUUGCUGUCUUUUUCUUCUGCUUGUUUUCUUUUUUCUUUCUCAACAGGUGAUCCAGGUGAUUGAUAUAUGUAUUUUUUGUCUGCUUAUUUUGUUGGUUUUUGUUUUUAGCCCUUUAUCCCCGUCCCUCUUCUCCGCUGUUUUUCUUUCCCUCUUUCUUUCUCCCCUUUCUUUUCCUCAGUCAAGUCUGUCCUGUAUUUAGCAAGUGAAAAUAAAAAAUCAAAUAAACAAUAAAAGGUGAAUCAAAUAGACCAUUACGGCAAGGCUGGGAUGGUACAUUUGGUAAAGUAAAUCCGUUGGGCAUCUUUCUUCACCUUUAGACAAUAAUUCUGAUUAAAAAAAAAAGAGCCAAACGGGACAGGCAAAAAAAUAAAUAAAAAAAUAAAAAAUUAAGGGGUAGGAAAACAGAAUUCAGUUGACUGCAAUCUGCAAUCUACUUUUUUUUUUUUUUUUUUUGCAAUCUACUUACAUUUAGUGAUGAGAUUGUAUACACUGUGCAUUUAAAUAGAAGUAUGAAAUAACUGCUUAAUGCUUUAACAUUUCACUUUUAUAACUUUAAUGAUAAUAAAACUGAAAUUCUAGUGAUUUCUCCCACUGAUUGUUUUAUUUAGUAUUGCUCUUUGUUGGAAGUUGGUGAAGUAGUUUCCCUUUUAGGUACUUAACUGUCAUUUGAGGCUGACAUGCUGCUCUCGCUUUCAGACAUGUUUGGACUUGUGUCACUGUUUUGCACACUAGUAAGCAUUGCUAUAUCAUUGAUAUCGCAAGAUAAAACUUAUAAAAGAUUAUCGCAAACUACAGAAUGUGGUCAGUCCUAGUGAAAAGCCACAAAAUCUGCCUUUUGGUUUG
ensembl:lncRNA